GACGAACGCUGGCGGCGUGCCUAACACAUGCAAGUCAACUUGACUGAAGGAGCAAUCUGACAGUAGAGUGGCGCAAGGGUGCGUAACGCGUAAGUAACUUGCCCAAGGUAAGGAAUAAACGUCGAGAAAUCGGCGCCCUAAUACCUCAUAAUGCAGCGGAUCCGCAUGGAUAUGUUGUUAAAGGUUUACCGCCUUGGAUAGGCUUGCGUCUGAUUAGCUAGUUGGUGUGGUAACGGCACACCAAGGCUACGAUCAGUAACUAGGUCUGAGAGGAUGAUCAGUCAUACUGGAACUGAGACACGGUCCAGACUCCUAC
rnacentral:rRNA from 1 species